rnacentral:rRNA from 1 species
UACGUAGGUGGCAAGCGUUGUCCGGAAUUAUUGGGCGUAAAGCGCGCGCAGGCGGUCCUUUAAGUCUGAUGUGAAAGCCCUCGGCUCAACCGAGGAAGGUCAUUGGAAACUGGAGGACUUGAGUGCAGAAGAGGAAAGUGGAAUUCCAAGUGUAGCGGUGAAAUGCGUAGAGAUUUGGAGGAACACCAGUGGCGAAGGCGACUUUCUGGUCUGUAACUGACGCUGAGGCGCGAAAGCUAGGGGAGCAAACGGG